rnacentral:rRNA from 1 species
AUGGCACCCCCACUCCCUUUGGCAGCAUCUACUAAUUCGGAACUUAAUUUGAAAGCCAUAUUUCGACCCGGACACUUUUGGGAUGCUUCUAAUAACCAACGAAUGGCAAGUGCUCUUCCUUGUUUAGAUCCUAUUUCAAUCGGAACUUUCCGCGUCGAUCCUUUUUUUUACGUCUUGUUUUUACUCCUAUAUUGGGAGUUACUCUAUGUAUUGCUUGACGUAAAACCAAUAGUGGAUUUUUUUCUAUCUUUUGUUGAAUCUUUUUCACGGUUCGAUACAGAAUUUGAUAAGCCAAUGAUUUUUUUCCGUCUUUCAUAA